UGCGUGUGCAGCAGCAUCUUCCGACUUACGGUCAAUCGCAGGUGCAGUUCCAGUUUGAUCCAUUUGCCAAUAUAUUGGGUGAUGCCUGUAGUCAGGCGGCGGAAUCGGCAUCGACAGCAUGGCGGAAGCAUUUAUCACCCUUCUUGGACACAAGCAGCUUAUUCCAAAAAAUGCAGAAGCGGAGAGCCUUAGGAAUACGGACUGAAUGCUCCGAGCGGAAAAUUAUUUUCAAUGGCAUCUUAGAGAUAUACCAAAAAUUUGGAUUCUGCCGACAACUAAGCUCGGAGUUGGUUGAGCCCUGUCCGCAGGAGAAUCAGGGGUACUGGUGCCCAAAGAAUGCCGGGGGUCCUAUGUACGACUGCAUCCGUGAUCGCAAUAGGUCCGAGGACGAAAAAAUACUGAGAAGAACAAAACAGAAAGAGAGGAGAGCUGCCAAGAGGAAGCUAGAGGAGGAGGCGACAAGUGUCGAUUAACUCUUAGCCCAUUAGAUGGUUUCCUGAGCCUUGCCGAUAGAAUGCUAAAAACAACAAAAACAACAAUCGGAACAACAGUACUCCAGAUACUCCUGCCGACAGAGCUCUUUAAUGUUCAUUAUAUAAUUUGUAUACCCAUUAUUCGAAGAGUUUAGAUAUACAUAUACCCAGAAGGAAGUGUUUCCGACACUAUUCUUGAUCAGCAUCAAAUUUUGUAUUUUCUUAAUUUUGUGCAUUAAAUUUUUCAUCUGCUCAGCCACAGUGGC